rnacentral:rRNA from 1 species
UACGGGGGGAGCAAGCGUUGUUCGGAUUUACUGGGCGUAAAGGGCGCGUAGGCGGCCACCGCAAGGCAGUUGUGAAAUCUCUGGGCUUAACCCAGAACGGUCAGCUGAUACUGCGGGGCUAGAGUGCAGAAGGGGCAACUGGAAUUCUCGGUGUAGCGGUGAAAUGCGUAGAUAUCGAGAGGAACACCUGCGGCGAAGGCGGGUUGCUGGGCUGACACUGACGCUGACAGCGCGAAAGCUAGGGGAGCGAACGGG